rnacentral:rRNA from 1 species
CCUACGGGAGGCAGCAGUGGGGGAUAUUGCACAAUGGGGGAAACCCUGAUGCAGCGACGCCGCGUGGGUGAAGAAGCGCCUCGGCGCGUAAAGCCCUGUCAGCAGGGAAGAAAAUGACGGUACCUGAAGAAGAAGCCCUGGCUAACUACGUGCCAGCAGCCGCGGUAAUACGUAGGGGGCAAGCGUUAUCCGGAUUUACUGGGUGUAAAGGGGGCGCAGACGGCGAUGCAAGCCAGUAGUGAAAGCCCGGGGCCCAACCCCGGGACUGCUCUUGGAACUGCGUGGCUAGAGUGCAGGAGGGGCAGGGGGAAUUCCUGGUGUAGCGGUGAAAUGCGUAGAUAUCAGGAGGAACACCGGUGGCGAAGGCGGCCUGCUGGACUGCAACUGACGUUGAGGCCCGAAAGCGUGGGGAGCAAACAGGAUUAGAGACCCUUGUAGUC